UUCUUUACGGUCCAGCCACCAGAAGCAGUUCCUGGUCUCCUGACUCUACUGUGUCACUUCAGGGCUUUGGAACAUGCUUUCCCUCUGCUGGAAGACAUCUGCAGCCACCUCAUCUCCCUCUUCCUUCAGUGCUCUGAGAGGUUGUAACAGCUUUGGGACGCUCUGGGAUCCCUGUUCCACUUUGCCUUUCCCUGCCUUCAUCACCCCCUUAAUUAUGGACAUGAACAGUCUUCAGGUCAAAGAAAAAUGUGGAGAUGGAGUUUCCCCAUGUUGCCCAG